AUUGAACGCUGGCGGCAGGCCUAACACAUGCAAGUCGAGCGGAUGAAGGGAGCUUGCUCCUGGAUUCAGCGGCGGACGGGUGAGUAAUGCCUAGGAAUCUGCCUGGUAGUGGGGGAUAACGUCCGGAAACGGGCGCUAAUACCGCAUACGUCCUGAGGGAGAAAGUGGGGGAUCUUCGGACCUCACGCUAUCAGAUGAGCCUAGGUCGGAUUGGCUAGUUGGUGGGGUAAAGGCCUACCAAGGCGACGAUCCGUAACUGGUCUGAGAGGAUGAUCAGUCACACUGGAACUGAGACACGGUCCAGACUCCUACGGGAGGCAGCAGUGGGGAAUAUUGGACAAUGGGCGAAAGCCUGAUCCAGCCAUGCCGCGUGUGUGAAGAAGGUCUUCGGAUUGUAAAGCACUUUAAGUUGGGAGGAAGGGCAGUAAGUUAAUACCUUGCUGCUUUGACGUUACCAACAGAAUAAGCACCGGCUAACUUCGUG
rnacentral:rRNA from 1 species